rnacentral:rRNA from 1 species
AGAGUUUGAUCAUGGCUCAGGACGAACGCUGGCGGCGUGCUUAACACAUGCAAGUCGAACGGAAAGGCCCUUCGGGGUACUCGAGUGGCGAACGGGUGAGUAACACGUGGGUGAUCUGCCCUGCACUUUGGGAUAAGCCUGGGAAACUGGGUCUAAUACCGAAUAGGACCGCGCGCUUCAUGGUGUGUGGUGGAAAGCUUUUGCGGUGUGGGAUGGGCCCGCGGCCUAUCAGCUUGUUGGUGGGGUAAUGGCCUACCAAGGCGACGACGGGUAGCCGGCCUGAGAGGGUGACCGGCCACACUGGGACUGAGAUACGGCCCAGACUCCUACGGGAGGCAGCAGUGGAGAAUAUUGCACAAUGGGCGCAAGCCUGAUGCAGCGACGCCGCGUGAGGGAUGACGGCCUUCGGGUUGUAAACCUCUCUCACCAGGGACGAAGCGCAAGUGACGGUACCUGGAGAAGAAGCACCGGCCAACUACGUGCCAGCAGCCGCGGUAAUACGUAGGGUGCGAGCGUUGUCCGGAAUUACUGGGCGUAAAGAGCUCGUAGGUGGUUUGUCGCGUUGUUCGUGAAAACUCACAGCUUAACUGUGGGCGUGCGGGCGAUACGGGCAGACUAGAGUACUGCAGGGGAGACUGGAAUUCCUGGUGUAGCGGUGGAAUGCGCAGAUAUCAGGAGGAACACCGGAGGCGAAGGCGGGUCUCUGGGCAGUAACUGACGCUGAGGAGCGAAAGCGUGGGGAGCGAACAGGAUUAGAUACCCUGGUAGUCCAA